AUUGAACGCUGGCGGCAGGCCUAACACAUGCAAGUCGAACGAGUGGCGGACGGGUGUGUAAUGUCUGGGAAACUGCCUGAUGGAGGGGGAUAACUACUGGAAACGGUAGCUACUACCGCAUACCAUCGGAUGUGCCCAGAUGGGAUUAGCUAGUAGUUGGGGUAAAGGGUCACCUAGGCGACGAUGCCUUGCUGGUCUGCGAGGAUGACCAGCCAAACGUGAACUGAGACACGGUCCAGACUCCUACGGGGGUCAGCAGUGGGGAGUAUUGCACAAGGGGAGCAAGCCGGAUGCAGCCAUGCCGCGUGUAUGAAGAAGGCCUUCGGGUUGUAAAGUACUUUCAGCGAGGAGGCGUUACCCGCAGAAGAAGCACCGGCUAACUCAGUGCCAGCAGCCGCGGUAAUUC
rnacentral:rRNA from 1 species